rnacentral:lncRNA from 1 species
AAGCAAUGGAGGGGCCUCCGAUGACAGCAAGUGUAACCACACCGGUGAGCCUUCUUUGCCGGCAACCAUUUAGCAUGUAGAGAGAACCUGAAAUUUCUUUACAUUCCUUUAGCAAAUUAGCAAUCUCGUGCAUCCAUAACUAAGCUGUUUGUUAUCUAAUUUUAAUAAUAUCUUUGUUUAGAAAUAUUAUUAUCUGCUCUGCAUGUCUAGAGGCAUAAAAGAUAAGUAAAUAGCAAAUUGAACAUAUCUUUGUUGUAUUGGAUAGAAGAACCAUUAAUCUAUCCAAAAGCACUAUUUCGAUUCAUUUCUAUCAAACAUUAUGCAUGAAUAUAAUCGAGUUGAUCUCAUAUCAAUACGAAUUUCACAAAACCUUGAAUGGAUAUGAGAGGGCAGCCGCAGUGUAGCAAAAAGCCGAUGCCCCAUCAAGAAAUAAAAAAUUGAUUGCUCAGCUGCAUAUGAGAGGGCAGCUGUACUAUGUUUACUCACAACUGCACCAUGAGUGGGCCCAGUGGGUCCCAUGUUAAUACUUCUAAUUACUAUCAAACAUUCGAUGUCAUCGAUGUGAGAGAGACUAAUUUUUAAUCCCGGCAUCCAAACGAGGCCUUAUGGAUUGACAAAAUUAUCAUAAACUCAUUUCAAUAGUGAUAGAUGAAACACCUGCCAUACCCAAAGAAUAAUUAGUCAAAAAUAAGAAUAUCCAUGCUGAGUGAGAGACUUGAACUAUAGGAGAAACAUAACAAAUUCAACAUUGCUCAGUUAAAAAAAUGUGUUUACUGUGGCUAGGAGAUUACCUGAGGGGGUACUCUUUUUGUUAUUUUCCUCCUUUUUUCUGGCUUUUGACAUAGCGGUAUUAUUUCUACCCUUGUCUAUUAAUAUAUGAACGGCAAGCUCUUGCCAGUUCACUUUCAAAAAAAUAUGUUUACUUAAUCCUUAACUACCAUCUAAUUACUUUCCUUAACUGCUAUCAUUGGAUGAAUUGGACAACAGCAAAAUAAGCUCACACCUCGCCCUGGUGCGACCCGACUCCCAUUAAGGGCCAGCCUUAGAGCUAGUUUUGUUAGCUUGAAAAAAAUCGGGCUGGUCCGAGCCUUGCCCGAAAUAUUAAAAUUAAUUAUUUCUACAUUAAAAAAAUCGUGUGAGCCCAACUUGGACCCUUAUUUGCAGGUACCAUAGAGUUAUUUGCCGAAUUUUAGCCUUGGUUUUAAGCCAAAAAAAUCGGACUUUCUGUCAGGGCUUUGCAAAAUGCUUAGGUCUAGGACGGACAAACAUAUUUGAGGAUUUUCUAGAUCAUAGGCUUGGGUCACAAGUGUGCCGAGUCUGUAUUCUUUGUAAUCUUGUAACAACCCGUGUUCAAAAUCUUAUGACACUUUCUUCCUUGUUUCAUGUAAAAGGUUUAAUCCAGAGACACUAUGUUUCUUUGUAAUCUUGUAUGCAUGGAGUACUAAAUGUAGACGAAAUCAAAAACUAAUUGUACAAUUUUAUUGUACUUUGCGAGAUGAAUCUUUUGAGACUAAUUAGCCAAUAUUUAAACAAUAAUUCACGAAUACAAACGAAACGCUACAGUAUGCUACAGUGCUGAUACAGUGAUUUUUGGUGAUCCAAAAUCGGACAACUAAACAGGACCUAGAAACUUCGUACCCUACUCCGAGGAACCUAAUGGCCUCCAUAAAUAUGCAGCAUACCUUUGAGUAGUUGGUCAUAGUUCAAAGGCGAGGGUGCUGGAGGAGAUCGAUCCUAGAAGCAAUGGAGGGGCCUCCGAUGACAGCAAGUGUAACAACACCGGUGAGCCUUCUUUGCCGGCAACCAUUUAGCAUGUAGAGAGAACCUGAAAUUUCUUUACAUUCCUUUAGCAAAUUAGCAAUCUCGUGCAUCCAUAACUAAGCUGUUUGUUAUCUAAUUUUAAUAAUAUCUUCGUUUAGAAAUAUUAUUUUCCGGUCUGCAUGUCUAGAGGCAUAAAAGAUAAGUAAAUAGCAAAUUGAACAUAUCUUUGUUGUAUUGGAUAGAAGAACCAUUAAUCUAUCCAAAAGCACUAUUUCGAUUCAUUUCUAUCAAACAUUAUGCAUGAAUCUAAUCAAGUUGAUCUCAUAUCAAUACGAAUUUCACAAAACCUUGAAUGGAUAAGUAC